rnacentral:rRNA from 2 species
UAAUGGCUCACCAAGGCGACGAUCCCUAGCUGGUCUGAGAGGAUGAUCAGCCACACUGGAACUGAGACACGGUCCAGACUCCUACGGGAGGCAGCAGUGGGGAAUAUUGCACAAUGGGCGCAAGCCUGAUGCAGCCAUGCCGCGUGUGUGAAGAAGGCCUUCGGGUUGUAAAGCACUUUCAGUCGUGAGGAAGGUGGUGUAGUUAAUAGCUGCAUUAUUUGACGUUAGCGACAGAAGAAGCACCGGCUAACUCCGUGCCAGCAGCCGCGGUAAUACGGAGGGUGCGAGCGUUAAUCGGAAUUACUGGGCGUAAAGCGCAUGCAGGUGGUUUGUUAAGUCAGAUGUGAAAGCCCGGGGCUCAACCUCGGAAUAGCAUUUGAAACUGGCAGACUAGAGUACUGUAGAGGGGGGUAGAAUUUCAGGUGU